rnacentral:rRNA from 1 species
GAUCCUGGCUCAGAUUGAACGCUGGCGGCAGGCCUAACACAUGCAAGUCGAACGGUAACAGAAAGCAGCUUGCUGCUUUGCUGACGAGUGGCGGACGGGUGAGUAAUGUCUGGGAAACUGCCUGAUGGAGGGGGGAUAACUACUGGAAACGGUAGCUAAUACCGCAUAACGUCGCAAGACCAAAAAGGGGGACCUUAGGGCCUCUUGCCAUCGGAUGUGCCCAGAUGGGAUUAGCUAGUAGGUGGGG